GCAGACACAUUCCAGCCAAUCAGCAGCAGACCCUCCCUCCCAGACCCUCCCACCUCCUGGACAGCAUCCAUUUUACAUUCAUUGUGAAGCUGCAUUUUUAGUGAGCUGUCCAGGAGGUGGGAGGGUCUGGGAGGGAGGGUCUGCUGCUGAUUGGCUGGAAUGUGUCUG
rnacentral:miRNA from 1 species